UAAUACGGAGGAUGCGAGCGUUAUCCGGAUUUAUUGGGUUUAAAGGGUGCGUAGGCGGACUAAUAAGUCAGUGGUGAAAACCUGCAGCUUAACUGUAGAACUGCCAUUGAUACUGUUGGUCUUGAGUGUGGUCAAGGUAGGCGGAAUGUGUAAUGUAGCGGUGAAAUGCUUAGAUAUUACACAGAACACCGAUUGCGAAGGCAGCUUGCUGGGCCAUUACUGACGCUGAUGCACGAAAGCGUGGGGAUCGAACAGG
rnacentral:rRNA from 1 species